rnacentral:rRNA from 1 species
UACAGAGGUCCCGAGCGUUGUUCGGAUUCACUGGGCGUAAAGGGUGCGCAGGUGGUUUGGCAAGUUUGACGUGAAAGCCCCGGGCUUAACCCGGGAAUGGCGUUGAAAACUGCUUGAACUGGAGGGUCGGAGGGGGGACUGGAAUUCUUGGUGUAGCAGUGAAAUGCGUAGAUAUCAAGAGGAACACCAGUGGCGAAGGCGAGUCCCUGGACCGGUACUGACGCUGAGGCGCGAAAGCGUGGGGAGCAAACGGG